GAUGAAGAACGCAGCGAAAUGCGAUACGUAAUGUGAAUUGCAGAAUUCAGUGAAUCAUCGAGUCUUUGAACGCACAUUGCGCCCCCUGGUAUUCCGGGGGGCAUGCCUGUCCGAGCGUCAUUGCUGCCCUCAAGCACGGCUUGUGUGUUGGGCCUCCGUCCUCCUCCCGGGGGACGGGCCCGAAAGGCAGCGGCGGCACCGCGUCCGGUCCUCGAGCGUAUGGGGCUUCGUCACCCGCUCUUGUAGGCCCGGCCGGCGCUUGCCGACACAUCAAUCUUUUUUCCAGGUUGACCUCGGAUCAGGUAGGGAUACCCGCUGAACUUAAGCAUAUCAUAAGCGGGGA
rnacentral:misc_RNA from 1 species